CUCAUCUAGACUUACUAAAUCUAAAUUACAUUCAAAUCCUAUUUACAGGCUCUUUGCAAGUGCCCGGCCAAUUAUAGUUAAAUUGUAACCCACCACCCUUGGGAAAGCUGCACCUUGAUCUGAUUUUCUCAGGGAGGUUGUCUAAGGCUUUCUGUUUGGGGAAGCCUAAAAGGACGGUAUACAAACCUCACCCAAGUGAGAUGUAGCGUGGAGUGUCGAAUAAAGCGGCAGGUUCCUCUGAGAGCCCUGCCUACCGCCAAGUCUAUUAGGUUUCAAGAGCAUAGCAACUACUACCUUAAAAUUGUUACUAUCAGGAAUAGAAGGGUAUCUAAUCCUUGUGUUAGCCCUGAGUUUUAGAACAAAGCACUUAAGGCCCCUGCUGAAUAAUAAAUUUUACCUCUCUUCAAAGGGGUUCUAUUCUUUCUUUUUUGACUUUAACUCAAUGCCCCUA
rnacentral:rRNA from 1 species